UACGUAGGGUGCAAGCGUUGUCCGGAAUUAUUGGGCGUAAAGAGCUCGUAGGCGGUUUGUCGCGUCUGCUGUGAAAACUGGGGGCUCAACCCCCAGCCUGCAGUGGGUACGGGCAGACUAGAGUGCGGUAGGGGAGAUUGGAAUUCCUGGUGUAGCGGUGGAAUGCGCAGAUAUCAGGAGGAACACCGAUGGCGAAGGCAGAUCUCUGGGCCGUAACUGACGCUGAGGAGCGAAAGCAUGGGGAGCGAACAGG
rnacentral:rRNA from 1 species